GCCCACGUAGCACAGCGGCCAAGUGCACCGUCGUGGACGGAGGCGCCGGUUCGAAUCCGGUCGUGGGCC
rnacentral:tRNA from 2 species